rnacentral:rRNA from 1 species
GACGAACGCUGGCGGCGUGCCUAAUACAUGCCAGUUGAGCGCUGAAGGUUGGUACUUGUACCAACUGGGUGAGCAGCGAACGGGUGAGUAACGCGUGGGGAAUCUGCCUUUGAGCGGGGGACAACAUUUGGAAACGAAUGCUAAUACCGCAUAAAAACUUUAAACACAAGUUUUAAGUUUGAAAGAUGCAAUUGCAUCACUCAAAGAUGAUCCCGCGUUGUAUUAGGCAGUUGGGGAGGGAAAGGCUCACCAAGGCGAUGAUACAUAGCCGACCUGGGAGGGGGGUCGGCCAAAUUGGGACUGAAACACGGCCCAAACUCCUACGGGAGGCAGCAGUAGGGAAUCUUCGGCAAUGGACGAAAGUCUGAACGAGCAACGCCGCGUGAGUGAAGAAGGUUUUCGGAUCGUAAAACUCUGUUGGUAGAGAAGAACGUUGGUGAGAGUGGAAAGCUCAUCAAGUGACGGUAACUACCCAGAAAGGGACGGCUAACUACGUG